UCGACGACGUUGGAUUCAGAUAUCUAUGUUGAAUAUCUGUAUCUAUGUUUAUAUCUAUACCUCUAUACAUUAUUUCUCUUAAAAUUACCAUAUGAUAACUUUUUUUUUUCACUAUGAGUGUAGACUCUACCCUGAAGCAGCUCAAGUCCUUUCUCUUCUUUUUCUUUAGGCUGAUAUUUUUGUUCAUCAACAAGAUGAAUUUCAUUUCUUAUCAUCACUUUUUUUUAUCGUUGUUUUUUUUUUUUUAAUGUUUUCUCUUUUUUUCAAUUAUUUAUCCGUCGUAUCGCACGAAUUACUAUGCUAAUAUAUAUUAAAAAUGCCAUAUUCUACGAGCUUAUGUUG
rnacentral:lncRNA from 1 species